rnacentral:rRNA from 1 species
GACGAACGCUGGCGGCGUGCUUAACACAUGCAAGUCGAACGGAGUGGCGAACGGGUGAGUAACACGUGGGUGACCUGCCCUGCACUUCGGGAUAAGCCUGGGAAACUGGGUCUAAUACCGGAUAGUGUGGGAUGGGCGCGCGGCCUAUGGGCUUGUUGGUGGGGUAAUGGCUUACCAAGGCGGCGACGGAUAGCCGGCCUGGGAGGGGGGACGGCCACAAUGGGACUAAGAGACGGCCCAGACUCGUACGGGAGGCAGCAGUGGAGAGUAUUGCACAGUGGGCGGGAGCCUGAUGCGGAGACGCCGGGUGUGGGAUGACCGCCUUCGGGUUGGAAACUCCUUUCACCAUCGACGCGGUAGAUGGAGAAGAAGUACCGGCUAACUACGUGCCAGCAGCCGCGGUAAUUC